rnacentral:lncRNA from 1 species
UUGUUUUGAGGUGGUUAAUUUGGGAUCAUAUGAGAUUGUAAGAUUCAGAAUCAAAUUCAUUGCUUAAAAAUUUCGAAUGCAUUUUUUUAUUUGUCAAAUUCUCAGUCAUUAAUCACAUAAAAUGUCCAAUGCAAUCUCAAUUUGGUCUAAUUUGGCCAAAUCGAAAAAUUCAACUUUGGAUAGAAUCAAAGGGUUCGAUUAUUUUUCGAACAUCCCACAGUUCUUCCAAUAAAAGGACGAUCAAAAGAAUAUUAAUCGAUAACCCGAUUAAUUUUCUUUUGUCUCCUCAUUAUAGGAGAAUUAAGAGAGAAUUUUUCUUUUUAUCUCCUUUGAAAAUACAAGACAACAAAGAUAGAUAAUUCUUCUUUGUCUCUUUUACAUUCAUGGGACAACUAAGGUGGGAAAAUCCCUUCCUUGCCUCCCUUUUUGUAACAAAGCUUCCUCUCUCUUUUGUAAUUAGAGAAGUAAUCUCUUUCUCUCUCUCUUUUGAUAAUAUACUUUUUUUUUUGCAAAGAGAAGAGCACCGCUCUCCCUCUUUCGAUAAUGCUAUAUUUUUUGUAAAGAGAAGAGCACCGCUCUUUCUCUUUUAAUAACACAUUUUUUAUAAAGAGAAGAGCACCGCUCUUUCUCUAAGUUCGCUGUCGAAAGAUAUGUCUCGGGCAUUCCGUCAAACAAUUGGUGGACGUGAACAGAUGAGGUCGUCGGGCUUCAACUCGUCGGAGCCGUUGAUGAUGACCAUGAACAGCGUGUCGCUCUGCACCUCUACACUGCUCGAUGGCUGCCGGUUCCAAGGAAGUUGACGUGGAUGAUCUCUGCGGCGAGCCCCGCGAGCUAGGAAGUCGUGUGCGACUUUGUAGAUGCUGACGUAGACCUUCUGGGCGACGAGCACGAAGUCGCAGUGCUCGUUUGCUCAGCCCAUAACUCAGCUUCUUCAGCCUCGUCGUGAUCUUGUCAAAGUAGACCGACUCUUGCCGCCCGUCUCGUUUCGUUUGGGAAUUUCGUCGAACAGGUGGAGGGGGUGGAGAUAUGUAGAUGGAGACGCGGCGGAGCUCGGUGGAGACGCGGCGGAGAUGCGACGGCUUCGGUGGAGACGCGGCGGAGAUGCGGCGGCUUCGGUGGAGACGCGGAGGCGCUCAGCGGAGCUUGGUGGAGACGCGGCGGCGCUCAGCGGAGCUCGGUGGAGCUUGGCGGAGGCACUCAGCGGAGCUCGGUGGAGACGCAGGGGCGCUCAGCGGAGCUCGGUGGAGACGCGGCGGCGCUCAGUGGAGCUCGAUGGAGCUCGGCGGAGGUGUUGACGAACUUGGCGUCGCGGCCCGCCGAGUAGGUCGCAGGCGAGGGCGAUCUCGAACCUGGCGGUGACGGCGAAUCCGGCGACGGCGCCGGCGAUGGGCUUGCGGCACGCAGCCAUGGCGGCGACAGCGUCGGCGGCGGGGUCUUUAACGUCGCCCUUGAAGACAUUCUCGUCGGCGGUGAGGUCGACGCCGGAGCAGAAGGCGCGGCUGUGCCCGGCGAGGACCACGGCGGAUCCAUAGGGUCGCCGCUCCACUUGAGCAUUUCGUCGAGCACCUUGUCGGAGGCGAGCUCGCCCGUGGCGUUGUAGCAGUUUUGCUUCAGGGUCUCCUUGUGGUUGGAGAGGAUGGCGUUGUGAAGCUUCGCCCGGAUCCCGUGGGUGACCGAAACCCUGGUGCGGUCGACGGAGGUCCCUGCGGCGAAGCGCGGGGAGAGGGCGUGGUUCGCGGCGUUGGAGUCGUCGAGGGCAUCGAGCUGCGUCUUGAUGGAGUGGGCAGUGCGGAGGAUCGCGGCGAAGCUCGGUGGAGCUCGGCAGAGGCGCUCGGCAUCUCUGGCGUGGAGGAGGGAGAAGACGAGGUGCGCGUCGAGGAGGCGGAGGGUGGCUGACCAUGCGGUGGAGAUGGGACGCGCACAAUCGGCGAGGCGGGUGACGCAGAGGGGGUCGAGCAGAGAGAGAGAGAGAGAGAUCUGAGAUCUUUUACUUCUCUUUUCUCUUUUUUUUUUCUUUUUUUUUUCUUUUUUUUUUUUAGGAGGGAGAGAGAUAGAGAGAUCUGAGAUCUUUGUCAUUGAUUGAUGCUAUAUCAAUGGAAAAACUACCUUUUUUUUUCUUCUUUCGUGAACAGGGGAAUAGUAUGGGUUUUUUUUUAUUAGGAAUAGGUUUGAGAGUUCAAAAACUGUGUCCUCUUUUUCUUUUCUCAUUGAGAGAUAUUUAUGGGACUAGUCUAACUACCCGGGAGAACGUGCGUAUGGACGUGCGUAUGGUGAGGUUUGUGGGAAGUUACGAUGUAGGAUCAUGGGAUCAUAGGUAUUAAAUUGCAUAUUAGUCCUUCCCAUUUGUUUAUAUUAUACCUUAGUUAAAAUAACAGAAUAUUAUAUGUUUGAAGGAGCAUCUUGCAAAUAUAUGAAAGGGAAAUGACUAAUUUGCUAUUUGUAAUACCCAUUCAUGCCUACAAGAACAUCCCACUUUUUGUAAUCUAUGCACCUGGUGCAUGGAUUAACCUAUGCACCAGGUUCAACAUUUGAACUCAAAUUUCUCCAUGCACCUAGUGCAUGGAUCAUCUCAUACACCAUUAUUCAAAUUUUCUCUCAUUCUACCUUUUUUCUUUGUCCUUUUUUUUUUUUUUUUUUUUCAAGCAGAAGACGGCAUANNNNNNNNNNNNNNNNNNNNNNNNNNNNNNNNNNNNNNNNNNNNNNNNNNNNNNNNNNNNNNNNNNNNNNNNNNNNNNNNNNNNNNNNNNNNNNNNNNNNNNNNNNNNNNNNNNNNNNNNNNNNNNNNNNNNNNNNNNNNNNNNNNNNNNNNNNNNNNNNNNNNNNNNNNNNNNNNNNNNNNNNNNNNNNNNNNNNNNNNNNNNNNNNNNNNNNNNNNNNNNNNNNNNNNNNNNNNNNNNNNNNNNNNNNNNNNNNNNNNNNNNNNNNNNNNNNNNNNNNNNNNNNNNNNNNNNNNNNNNNNNNNNNNNNNNNNNNNNNNNNNNNNNNNNNNNNNNNNNNNNNNNNNNNNNNNNNNNNNNNNNNNNNNNNNNNNNNNNNNNNNNNNNNNNNNNNNNNNNNNNNNNNNNNNNNNNNNNNNNNNNNNNNNNNNNNNNNNNNNNNNNNNNNNNNNNNNNNNNNNNNNNNNNNNNNNNNNNNNNNNNNNNNNNNNNNNNNNNNNNNNNNNNNNNNNNNNNNNNNNNNNNNNNNNNNNNNNNNNNNNNNNNNNNNNNNNNNNNNNNNNNNNNNNNNNNNNNNNNNNNNNNNNNNNNNNNNNNNNNNNNNNNNNNNNNNNNNNNNNNNNNNNNNNNNNNNNNNNNNNNNNNNNNNNNNNNNNNNNNNNNNNNNNNNNNNNNNNNNNNNNNNNNNNNNNNNNNNNNNNNNNNNNNNNNNNNNNNNNNNNNNNNNNNNNNNNNNNNNNNNNNNNNNNNNNNNNNNNNNNNNNNNNNNNNNNNNNNNNNNNNNNNNNNNNNNNNNNNNNNNNNNNNNNNNNNNNNNNNNNNNNNNNNNNNNNNNNNNNNNNNNNNNNNNNNNNNNNNNNNNNNNNNNNNNNNNNNNNNNNNNNNNNNNNNNNNNNNNNNNNNNNNNNNNNNNNNNNNNNNNNNNNNNNNNNNNNNNNNNNNNNNNNNNNNNNNNNNNNNNNNNNNNNNNNNNNNNNNNNNNNNNNNNNNNNNNNNNNNNNNNNNNNNNNNNNNNNNNNNNNNNNNNNNNNNNNNNNNNNNNNNNCCAGCAGACAAUUUAUUAUGGCCUUCCUAAAGCUAGCGCUUUACGGUUGAGAAGUGUUGCCUUAGCCGCUUGCGAGGCCUAUUCUUUGCCUGCCAUUCACGUGCCGCCUACGUAUUUCAUGAGUGACCACCACGAAGGGUCUGCAAGGUCCUGCGCAUCCUGGGCCUCAAUUCCCUGUUAGUUUUCUAUAUGCGUGGAUUGGUCUUCAUUUUGAACAGACUUAUUCUAGAAAGGUGAUCAGCGAUAAUAUCAAAAACAUCGCCGGCUUACAAAGCCCUCCUCAAAUGAUAUUUUUUAUGGAUGCGGCGGCUUCUCCUUUUAAUGCUAAGCGAGCACGAAUUCAUCUCAGAUCGAGCGCCCAUUUUGUGUGGCGUCCCCUGCCAUAUUCUUAUUCUUUUGUUAAUGAUGGUUGGCUUUAUGAUGCAAAAUUGACUACAGGAGAGUGUAAAUAUCCAAAAGAGGUCAAUGAAUAUAUAAUUUCUAUCAGACAGAGUGUGCUUCCACUUCGUUUGGGGAACAAACUGCACACACAGCCAUAUAAUCCUCAUCGUUUUGCUCGACAAUUCGGCUUCGAUCAAUCUUUUCCUGAAAGUAUCAAUGUUCCUAAAUUAGCCAACCAUCUUGGGACACUUGCUGGGUGUUGGAAUCAUUUUCUGCGAUAUGGGACUUCUACUAACUAUUUUAUACCAAAGAAAGACCGGAUUGGCAAACCGACUUUACAUUAUGCGCGUUGGUGGUCUAAUAGCGUGCAUUCGAGCUUCAAGCAUGGAGUGGGCUAUUUACUAAAUGCAGAUGAUCCCCGCAAGAAGAAGAAAAAAGGUGUUAUCAUUUUAGAGAAAAAUUCAACUUUUGAAGGGAGAUUGAUUCUUCAGAUGUUAUAAAUGAAAGAGUACUAAACUCUCUAGAACCAGAGGGAAAGCAACUUGAUUUAUUUCCAGAAUAUGAUCAUAUCCAAGCUGGUCCUUCCGAUGACUCUCCUCAAUUUGAAGUUCUCGGCCUCAGUUUUCCAAUUCACGAAGAUGAGAAAUCUAAGGUAUGCUCAUUAACAAUUUCAAUUAUCUUCUCUCUACUUUUUAUUUUUUGUGUGCUGAACUUCUUUUGUUUUAUGGUAUUUGUAGGAAGUGCGCAUUAUAGAUUCGCCUACCGGAGGUGAAAUGCAUUGGCAAGAUUCUACAACGAGGACAAAGGUGCGACGUAGAAUCCGUAUGAUUCGAAUUUUGUUGGUUCAUUCUAGCAUCCUUUCUUUCCAUGUAUUAACUAUAUAUAUGUAUUUAUAUUUUUACAUAGAUAUGCAAUGUGGAACCAUCUUUAAGAAGCCCAAAAAAUCUACCAUUGGAUGCUUCAACUAAAGUAGCUCAUGGAAAGCUUCCCCUUACUGUGUCUUCAAUAAUAGGUGACUCUUUUCAUUCAUAUUCUAUUUAUAAUUAUCUGCACAUGAUGUACGCCACAUUUAUCCUUUAUAUAUAUAUAUAUAUAUAUACAUAUAUAAAUAUAUAUAUACAUAUGUAUAUAUGUAUAUAUAUGUAUAUAUAUAUAUAUGUAUAUAUGUAUAUAUAUGUAUAUAUGUAUAUAUAUGUAUAUAUAUACAUAUAUACAUAUAUAUAUAUAUAUACAUAUAUAUAUAUAUGUGUAUAUAUGUAUAUGUAUAUAUAUACUAGUUGAGUGUACGUGCAACUGCACGUAACAAUUAUUUUAAUUUAUUUAAAUCAAUAAAUAUUUGUAAAUCAUAUUUAUUCAAAAAUUUAUAAAUAUUUUUUAAAUUUAUAUAUUACAUUUGAGCAGAAAUUAAUGUAAAAAAAAAUAUAUUUUGAAAUUAAAUAGAAAAAUAAAAUAUGUUAUCUUAAAAAGAAAAGAUAUUUUGAAAUUCGAAAAUUAAUAUAAAAAAGAAAAAAUAAAAUCCGUUAUCUUUUAUAGGAUUUUCAUACCAAAAAUAUUUUAAAAAAGAUAUUUUAAAAAUAAAUUGAAAAAUAUCUUUUAUAGGAUUUUCACACCCGUAAUUUGUUAUAAAAAACUUACUUUUAAAAUUAAAUAGAUAAUACCUAAAAAAGAUAUUUUAAAAUAAAAUAGAAAAAUAUAAGUAAUCGGUUAUAGAGAACAUGCGUAUGCAUUAGGGUUUCUAUUUUUAUUCUUAUAUUUAAAAUUUUUUUUGUACGGAAUGAGGAAAAUGGGCGCUAAUUUUUCCGCCGAAAUAUGGGUCUGUCGACAGACCCAAAUUUGAAUAUACGUGUUUUUAUAUAUAGUAUAGAUAUGUGUAUAUAUGUAUAUAUAUGUAUAUAUAUAUAUAUACAUAUGUAUAUAUAUAUAUAUAUAUUUUUAACCGAUAGAAUCACAAAUCGGAAGGAGUGGGUCUAUUGAGGAUGACGUGUCUCUAUAUGAUGAUGAAUUGGUUCCACACCUUCGCCGCCAAAGGUAAUUUUAUUUUUUUUUUUUUUUUGGUUAAAUCCAUAUGCCUUCUAUUAGUCUUAAAUUAAGCAUUUGAUUCUCAACUAAAGAAGGAGGUAAGAUAUGGAUAAUAAUGUGUAAUUUUUCGUUAGAAAUCUGUAGCCGCAAAAAUUUUAUAAAUCGGAGCUAUAACGAAAAUGUUAUGGCCCAUUUACAUUUUGGUCCCUGUAUUUACAAAGCAGUCCCUGCAGUUUCAUUUCAGUCCCUGCAGCUUCAUUUUCCUUUGAUUUUUUGAUGCAAAUCUAUAUUCUCGGUCUUUCUUUUUGGUCUAAAAUUGUUCUCAAGGAAUUCAUGGCUGUAACAAUACAUAAGUUAGGAUUACAACGGCAAUGUUAUAACCCGUUUUACAUAAUACUCCUUAUUUUUUUGUUUUACAAAAUAGUCCCUGCAGCAUGUAUCUUCAAUUUUGCUCCGAAUAUCAGCAUAUAGUCUUUUUUCUCACAGGAUCCACUCAUAGAUGUUGCAGAUAUUGGAGUGUCAUCUUUCAGGGAAGCUUGCCCGACUCAUCAUGAGGUAUAUAUGUAUUUAUCAAAAUUGUCCCAAGUUUUAUUUCAUAUCGCUCCCGUAGUCAUACAUUAAGCGCAUUUACUAUUUCUUUUACACCACAACUCCAUUGUUUAGGAUGAGGGUGCCAAAGAAGAUAAUGACAGUAUAGUAGAGGAAAGCAAAAAUGAAGCUAUAACAGAAUCGCCUUCACUGGGUAAAAGAGAACGAGUCGUUGAUUUUUCGACUAUAGAGGCGCAUAAGAGAGCUCGUUUGGAGACCGAUUUAAAAACAACUAGUAAGGCCCCAUUUUUUCUUGUCAAAGUUUCAUAAAAAGCAGUAUGCCCUAUGAAAGCAUCCCUUUUAUAUAUUUUUAUUGUCUCUUUUUUUUGUGCGCAGGUUUUCCGGUAGAGUCAAAAUCAAAUAAUGAUCCAGAAGAUGCUUUAUCGCCUUACGGCGACGAAGUGAACUACGAGCCUACACCUUCACCACCCUGAAGCUCUUGAAAAUAAUGAUAUGGUGAGAUUUUAUAUAUUCAAACAUUUCUUCUUCUCAUUUUCUUUCAUAUUUUUUAUUAUUUUCUCUUUUUUAUAGGAUGUACCACUUGACGAGAAUGUCGGUAUUCACUUGGAUAGUGGUGCAGGAGAUUCCCGAAGCGAGAUACCUAUUGUAGCCCAGUCAUUUUUGAUCGAUCGCAUAAUGGAUACUAUGAAGACAUUUAAUCGUCGCAAAUUUAGAUCAGCUCGAGACGAAGUAUCAAAAUAUUGCCAAUGUUUAUCUUCACUUGGAAUUGAUAUAUCUGAAUUGGAAAGGCGUAUAAAACCUAUAUUUGACCAUGCAGAGGCCAUUGAAGAAGUAGAAUCAAGUCCAAAUUUUAUUUCAGUUGUUCGACUCAUGAAUGCUGAUGAGAAUCUGGCACUAAGAAAAAGAAAACUUGCUUCCCAUAUCAGUACAAAGAGUUCUCUCCUUCAAGGUACUGAAAGUGUCUCUUUAGAGCUUCAACAAACCAGAGAGAAAAUAAAAGAACUAGAAGAGAGUAUAUUGCAUUUGAAAAGUACAGAAGCGGAAUUGACACUUAGACUUGAAGUGGCUGAUGACUCCUUAAAGAAACUAAUACCGACUGAAGAAGAACUACAAAAGGAUGUCGUUGAUGCAGAAAAGGAAUAUGCUGCAGUCAUUGAAGAUUGUAAUGAUUCUAAAGAAUCCACUGGUCUUCGAGGAUUAAUAGAGCUGUUUGAGGAGCGUCGUCAAAUAUUUGAAAUUUGAUUUCUUCUUUUCUUCUCUUUGUUAUUUUUUGUUUGUCACGAAUGUUAUUUUUGUUUGUCACUAAUAAGAAACAAUAUUUUGUAGUCUCAAUAGUUUGAAUGUUUUGGAUUAUGCUUGAGUAUUUGAUCUCCUCAUCUUUUUUAUAUUGUGUUGCAUUGUGACAAUGAUUAUCUUGUGAGAAUGGCUUUGUUUAUUUUGCCUCGAUCACCACGCAUAACCAACUCUUAAUUGGGUUAGCAUUCUGUCAUCCAAAUAAAUUCUAGAUAGGUACUCUAUCCCGACUUUUAUUUAUAGGUCUCGAAGAAUUUUCUCAAAACAAAGAUCCCUAAUUUGCCACAGUUAAUAUUUCGUAUGCUAGUGGCUCAAAUCCAUAUUUAGAGACAUGGUUAAACUAAAUUAAAUUUUCAAUGCUCAAUUUAAAAAUAUAGCGAUCAUAUUAGAAUGCUCAGUUUAACGACAUGGCAGUCGAAUUACAUCAGAUGCUCAGUUUAACGACAUGGCGGUCAAAUUACAUUAAAUGCUCAGUUUAACGACAUGGCGGUCAUAUUACAUCAGAUGCUCAAUUUAACGACAUGGCGGUCAAAUUAGAUUAUAUGCUCAGUUUAACGACAUGGCGGUCAUAUUACAUCAGAUGCUCAGUUUAACGACAUGGCGGUCAAAUUACAAUUAAAUCUCAUUAAACGACAAUUUUUGGCGGUCAUAAUUACAUUCUGAACUGCUGGGGAUAAAUUCACAAUUUAAUCCCGAAUCCAAUUGUGACCCAUAUUGUCUAAACAACAUUACAUCCACUCUUUUUUUUCUUCUUUUUUUUUUUUUAAUCCCAAUCGGAUUGGGCCUAGAUAGAUAUAUAUUGCCAUAUACUUAGGGCUGAGAUAAUUUCGGCUUAAUACCUACCCAAAUUGUAUAUAGGCUGGAUUUCGGGUGUAUAAUUAUGCGGCCCAAUGAUUUGGGCUUGUGCUUGUCUUCUUAUAAGUUCUUGUGACCAUGAAUAAAACAAUUGGCCCAUCAAAAUAACUCAAAUUCAAUUUCCCAACAUCUCUUCUAUAAUACUCAUCAACACCCUCACACAUUUUCAAAAUAUUUCUUUUUUUAUGCAUAAUCAUCUUGUAAAAACGACACAUUGAAUACUGCAUUGUACAAAUCAACACCUCACCUUUCCAAAAAGCAAAUAACGAUAAGCGCACAACCCGCUCAUAGCAUUCCACACAUAUAACAGGCUACACACAAUCCACAACAAUAUUGAUCGAAUAUCUUUCGCAUGUUUAACGCAUCUAAAACGACAACAACAACUCCCCAACAUUGAACCACAGGGGUUAGUUUUAUUAUAUCGCACAACACCCACAACUAUCAACAGCUUGAUAGAUUCAAAUUUUUUGGGCAAUUACUGAUUAAACUCAUCACUAUACGUUUUUUAAUCGUUGAACUGCUUAAUUCGCAAUGAAGCAAUUCAAUCUUCUAAAACCUGUAAACUAUCCUCAGUGCCAAACACCAAAGAGUAGUGUGUUCUGAUUGUGGGUUCUAUAAUUUCAUAGUCAAAAGCUCUAUAAUCGCAAUAACCAUCUUUUGAUUUUGACAAAAAUUUUCUUUAAAUUUUUACAAAGAUCUAUAAUGGCUUCACCAAUCCAUGCUUGCAUAUAUAUUGUAAAUAUCCGGCAUCAAUUUGUGUUAGCAACUCUAUGACUUUGAAAACUCUUAACGUUUUAUUAUCAAGAUAUAAUUCUCUUGGAACCCAAAUCAAUAUAUAAUAUUUUCUCUAAGAUUUACAACAUCAUCUGCUUUACUUUCCUAGUGAAUGCUUCACCCAUCUGAAAAAGAAUCUGUAGCACUAGAAUAAACUUAUCCCCCCUGGUAGAUUUGGACUUGAUAUACCCUAUCACAUCUGUUCCCCAAUAUUAAACGGCCACUAGCAUUGUAGAUUUCAAGGGUGAUGAUUAUUUCAAUGAUCACCGGUGAUUUGACAUGGGAGGAUGCAGUUCCUAUAGCAUAAUCAUAAUCAAUCUGUACAUUGUGGCCAAUAAUACCGCAAUUUUAAUUUUAGCGCCAUUUUUGCCCUUAUUAUUGCCACCCAAACACCCAAUAACAUUCAUGCAUGACUGUUAAUCCAUUGGUGAUAACAACAUUUAGCCAUAAUGAACAAAAGUAUUUGCGAUAAAGUUGAUUAUUAACGAAUAUAUCUCAUCGCUCUUUUCUAUUGCUGUCUGACUUUCUCUGCAGUAUUAUUAUCAUUUGAGAAAAUCGAAGAAAGUCUCUCCAAUCAUCUUCUAACGAUAUUACAACUUAGACUCCUUCGCUACUCUUUCUUGAUUUAAGUCUAGCCAGGAUAUAUAUUUUUCGAUUCGUAAAUUAUUGGACCUGCACCAUUGAGUGCGGAUCAGCAAUCUCUUAGGUCCAAUCUUAGCUAGGGUAAUACAUUGAACAUUCGGCAAACUAGGAAUUCUGAAGGAGUUGAAUAGUGACUCUGAUGAACUCUUCUACAACUUUUGUAGGAUUGUUGAGAGGCUUCACAAAUCACUGAGCAAGCAGAUAACUGGAAAUGAAAAUGCAUUACAAUGCCUUACUCUAUGCAAUGCUUCGAAUUUUGCAAUGCGAAGUUCUAGUAAGGGGAUGACCAUUGGAACCUUCCCACAGGUUCUAAAGGUUAAAGAUAAUUAUGAAUAAGUUUAAGAGUGAUCGAAUGUGAGAAGCGAGGAAGUGCGUUGCACUUUAGAAUGCAUCUUCUCAUUGUUAUCGGUAACCCUAUCGUACCGUACCCUAACAGCAGAAUCUGCAGCUGCGUGGCAGCAAGGCCAUUUUGGUCUUUUUACAUCUCCUACUCAUCCUUAUCCCUCCCAGCUCGACCCUGAGGUUGUAUUACACUUAGAAACUCAGGAAAAAACAGGUUUUAGCUAUCCUCUUUCUCUCUCUAGGGUUUGGAGCUCAAGAGAGCUUGGUGUAGUGGUUUCGGCUUUUUCGACGUGAUUUCCUUGCGCUAGCUGGUUUGGUGGGAUUUGGAGGAGCUCUCUUGUUGUGAACUGUUGGAGGUGAAGGUUCUCUUGCUGCCCAACUUAGUUGGAACCUGAUUUGCAUUAAGGUAUGAUGGACUAAGCAACUUUUCUCUCUCUAGUUUCAUGGUAGUUGCUAGUAGUGGUUGUUGGAGCCGAUUUUGGACUCUUUGCUGGCAGCAGGUUGUGGCAAAUAUUUUAUCAUCUUGAGAAGGAUUAGGGUGCUGUGGAGUCUUCACUUUAGCUCAGGGAGGAGCUGAUUUGUGACUUAAUCAGGUAAUUAGUCCACUUAUAGAAGUUUUAGCAUGUUUGACGAGGUCGAGGUGUUGAUUUUGGAUGUAGUGAUCGCAGCAGCAGUAAAUGUCGCUUAGUGCUGAGUUUGGGACUCCGUAAGCUGAAUUGAAAGGUACUUUCAUUGGUGGUAAGUAGAAUUUGUAAUUGGAAAACUAAAUAGCUCAUAUUUUAACCUAUAUUGGAUAUAUGUUUAUGAAGUAAAGGCUGUUUUGUGAUGUUAUUCGCAGCGUAUCGCGAUUGUGGACUGAUUGGUUCUUGGCUGUAUUUGAAGGCUUUCAGAGGGUUAAACUUAGAGUUUAAUCGGAUCCAAAACAGGGAACUAAGCUACUCCACGAUUUAAGGUGAAGUAGUAGCCGAUUUUGGAUGCUUUGUUCAUAGUUGACGCAGUUUUUGGAGCUAUGUCCACAGCAGAUCUUGUGUUUACUUGAGCUAAUUUUAAUACUUCUUUGGGCAGGUCUGAGCUAAGUUUUGAGAACACCUAGCUUCCUUAUUGAGCUCACUCAAUUUCCUUUGUUCUAGGUAUGAACUAACACCUAGUAUGCAUUAAUAUGUGAGGUUCCUAAUUGUUCAACUGAAAGUUGAUUUUAACGUGUUCUAGGGGAUUGAGAGACGUUGGACUUGGUUGAUCGAGAGCUUCCCUUAAUAGGUGGGUCUGGCUUUCCCGAAAUGGAUGAAUUCCCUCUUUGUCUUCUUUGACAUUUGAGUUGAAGUUAUUUUAUACUUAUGUGAAUAUAUGUAUAGUUUAAGGCAUUGAGACAUGCACUGAUAUGUAGAUCAUAUCAGAACCGAUAGUAUUUUUAAAUGGUAAUGAAAGAUUCAUGACUUGUCCAUUCUACAUGGUUACCUGAUAAGUACUAUGAAUUCAUGAUACUAGUAGCUUGCAUAUGCAAUUUGGCUUGAUGUUAUCCACGAGGAUAGAAUGGUAAAUUCGUGAAUGGACCAAUUAGUUCUGUUGAACAACAAAGAGACUGAUGUACUUAGGAGUGAGUUAUGCAAUGUUAUGCAACAAGUAUAAUGGCUAAACUCUGAAAGAUCAGGUAAAGGCUUGUGUUUGCAUAUGCAUUCCUAAUUGUAGAAUGAAUGGCAUGGAGGUCAUGUGAAAAGUAUUUUAUUGUUUAUAUUCCUUGCUUAUAUUACUCUGUUAGUUUCUGCAUUCACAUGAUAGAGUCAUAUUGUGGUAUAUAUUCUAGUAAGUAACUAGAAGUUUAUAGGAUGGCAUAAUUGAAUGACAUACAGAUGAAUAUAAUCUAGUAGAUAACUAGAUUUAAAUAUGAUGACAUACUUGUAUAGUCAAGUAGAGGUGAUUGUUUCAUAUUUGUGUGCGUCAAGUAAUAGAAGUUUAUACUGAACUUCAGGUUAUGUGCCAUGAGUCUAUGAAUAGAACCUUAGUAAACCACUUUCCUUAUGUGUAAGGAGUAGUGAGAGAUUGUGAAUGAUUGACCAGGUAUAGUCUGAUAGAAUCACUAGUGUGAUGUAAAGCCUUAACUUGUCAAGUUAUAUUAGUUGUUAGUAGAAUCAUAUCAACAAGUUGUUGAUAGUGACUUAUGAUUGGGUACUACAGUGCCGACCUUGGGUCGAGUGGAGAUAUUUGUACCCUGGACUAUAGCUUGCAUGCCAAUACGCUCUUUCGUACCUGCUUGCGGGGGUCGCGCCCCCCAAGCCCCGCGUUCCGGAGUGGCUUGAGUUGAGAUACCAUGUCAGGGACAUGAUACUGUUGUGAGAUUGGUACUAUGGACUACGGCUUGCAUGCCAUUGUGCGCGUUCGCACACGCUUGCGGGGUCGCUGCCCCCAAGCCAGCACUCCCGAACAGCUUAGCGACAGAUGCUCGCAAAUGUACGAAGUGAGCGCCGAAGUGGAAUGCCGUGGGGAGUGUACACUACCACGGGGCCAUUAGGCACGGCGCGGCUUGAACUUACCUUGUGUAAGUUUGUUGGAAAUUGGGUUAUGUCAAGUACUUCAACCUUAGCUGGACAUAGUAGUAAAGUUACUUUAUGUCUUUGGUUAAGUGAACUUAUUGAUGAACAUACUAAAAAGUUGACAUCUAAAGUGAGCUUAGUGAUGAAUAACCUAGAAGUUGACAUAAUGAUUGGUUAGCAACACAAUGAAUGACAUUAUGUUUCUUUCUUGCUAAUGCAAAAGGUAAUUACAUGAUAUCAUCUGUAAUUUCAGUAAAGGGAAUUACCUUGCAUACAAUCAGGUAUUUGUUUGGUUAAAUUGUCAAGUAAUUUGAUUGAUAGAAUCUAUCAUGAUAACUGAUACCUGCAAUCUAUUGAUGUUUAUUUAUUGUUGAGCAAUAGCAUGAGUAGUUUAUUUUCAUACCUGUUGCAUGUAAUUGCCUAUUGCAUUAUCUGCAUUUACUUGUUUAUACAUUGUUAUUUACUCAUGCCACAGUUGACCUAGUGGUGUACUUCGCCACCCCCGGCGGAUUACCCACUGGGAACUAUUGUUUAAUAGUUCUCACACCCUCUUUAUUGUUGUUUUUACAGAGCCUUCCACCGCGGGAAAGGCUAGGGUUCUUGGCGAGGGGUCUGCGGCUAGCUAGAGCCUUUUGGACGUGUACUAGAUGACCUCCACCAGUUUAUGUAGUUUAGUACAGAGAUGUAUAUUAAGUUUUGUAAAUUGUACUUUAUUCUUAUUUCCCGUAUUAAGGUUUGGAUUGUAUAAGUUAAACUUAAAAGUCUUGCUCUGAUUACCUGGUUAGAAUUAUAUGCUUUUACUAUCUGGUUGUAGACGCCUUGUGUAUACUUGAGUCGGGAUGUACACGGCGGGUCUGUGCACGCGACCGGAUAUGCUUCCGUUGGUACCCGGGCGUGACAGAUUAUAGUGGUAUCAGAGCCUAGGGUUGAGUUUUAGUGGACCUAGUAAAUCUUAGGCCGGUUGAACGAUCAGGAUUAGGAGCGUGAGAAACGGGGUCUUUUGCGACUAUAUUGAGCGAAAGUAUUAUGAUUGGGUCAUACUUAUAACUCCAAAAUUGUUGGAGUUCGAUUGAAAUGAAUAACCUCUAUGUCCUUCCAAAAUCACGUUGGCGGCCGACAAUGUGAUAUUGGGAAAUAGUGGGCGGUCAUUUCAUUACUUUCGCAUGAUUAGAAUUUUACAAUUUUGAGUGGGGCUACGAUAGCAUGGGUUGUUUUAACCUGUGCCUAUUUUGUUUGUUGCAGCUUGCAAUGUCAAAGAUGCACCCUACGGCAACUGAUGCAACUGAGCGAGAAAGACAUGAACCCUCUGAAUCUAACGAGGUUCAGGAAUUAAAAGAGCAGCUAGCUACUCUAGUUGGAGUGGUAGAGCGACAAGCGAAUGUGACGCUACUUCAAGCCGAUGCUUUGCGCCGACAGGAUGAAGGAAUCAGACGGUUGGAGAACCUGUUGAUUCAACAGACGGCUGAUCUCAAGAAAUUCCACGAGGUUUCAGAUUGUACUUUGACCGUAAGAAAAGGUGUGGAAUGCACUGAAAGAGCCAAAGAGGCUACUGAGGGCGAUCAAUUAUAUGUCGGAGACUCAUCAAGAAAAUUAAAGAAGAAUCAACCUUCGAAACGUGAUUCUUUUUCUAAGCAAAGAAGAUUGAGGAGACGAUUACCUCGGCCAUGUGUAAUAUGUGGAGGUCCGCAUGUUCCCCCAAAGUGUCCUCAGCGGAAAGGAAAGUGUUUUGUAUGUGCUCAGGAGGGCCAUUUUCGCUCUGAGUGCCCAAGAAAUGAUAUGUUGACUAAGGUAUCUGCACCGACUUUGUUGCAAAAAGUACCCAGUGAAGGUACGCCGACGAAAUCAAAGAGUCAGAUACGACGGCAGGGAUAACUACUGCAGGUAGUACUUUAUGCAAUGUCCCUAUGAUUCGAUAUGAUCAUAAUGAUGGCUUUAGUUGCAUUUCUGAUCGGCUGUUUACCGAGUUGAUUCGUAUCAAUUCCCUCCUUAUUGCAUGUAGGAUUGAUUGAAUAGAAUAAUCUCUUUGACGCCCUGCCUAUUGAGAAGGCUUAGCAGAUGCCAGCAAAUGUAUUGGCUUAUCUAUGAGAUACUUGUACCACGGGUUGUGCGAACUAAAUUGGUUCGCCUUGGAACUUUGAACUUUUUGCAAUGCAUUUUGAAGGGUUUAACCUCGCUGAUUGCAAGAAUGAUCAUUUUUACCUAAAAUUAGGUAAUUAUGGAACGGUUGGAGCUUAUUUGGCCGAUAAGAUAAAUGUGAGAAUCCUCGAAAUGACGAAUCAUUUUGAGAAGUGGCUGUGAUAUUUUUGAUCAAGUCACAAAUUGUGAACUUGACGAAUAGCGAAUGUUUUAUGCCUAGUGCUUCAUGUUGGUGAAGUAAUUUCACUUGUGGUAAGAUUAGAUGAGCUAUUCAACUAUGUGUCGGAUAUCGUGAUUUCAAUUGGAAACACGAUUAAUUGAGAUCUGUGAAUCUUUUGACCAGCUUUUCGUAUUGGUGCAUGUUAUGGAUUAAGUAGCAAUUUGGGAAGUUGUAGUCUUCUGUGAUAGACAAGGUUAUGAAGGAUUUAUCCAGUUGAUUGUUCUGUGAAUCCUACAAGGUAGAUAAUGAUUGAUUGAGAAGAUGAAUUAAAAGGAUUGAGAUGAAUCUCUCCUAAUGGAACGAAGCAUCUUGGAAUAUUGAGAAAGAGAUUAUCCAGCUACUUAUUUCUUUCUCUUCUGAUCCUAGUUAUGUAUAAUUGGAACUAAGCUUCAGGGAACAAACUGCAUGAGGUUAGUCUUUGGGAAUUAAUAUCUUGACUAAUAGUUAUAUUGGGAUAAAUCUCAUACAGUUUGAAAGCAAAUGAUGAUGCUCUAAUGGUGGGUUAACGAAAGGUUUUGUUGAGAUUUCCUCCCUACUUAUGGAAAAAUAUGUAGAGUAACAGCAAUAGAAAACUUAUGGGUGAAGUAUAAAUUGAUUCCUUUCUAUUACCUUAAUUGGAUUUGGAACAAUGAGUACUUUGAGCCUCACACUCUCAGAACAGUAUCAAAGAAAGUGUAUCUGAAUUGAUUUAAUUAUAGAAGUAAAUAGUGAUGUCACAAGUGAAUUUGGGAGAAGCAAAGCUCCAAUUUGAGCUUGCAUAGCAUUGGAUGGAAAUCGUGCUUGAAUACAUGAAGACAAUCUCUUGGUGAUGAUUUGGUUAUGCUCUACUUAUGAUUAAUGUAAAGGGGAAACAGUAAAGUUGUAAAGAUAACAUUAAUGGAAUCCAUAUGACUUUAGAUAUUGACGUGGAGCAGCAUCCAUUUAUGCGAAUUGAGAUUAUCGCCUAGUGACAGGAUGAAAGAUGAUACUAAAGUAUUGGGAUACAAUGCGGAUUAGCUAAUCACGAAUCCAUUUUUUUGUGGAUUGAUAAACAUAAUCAAUUCCAAUUUGUCAGUGGAGGGUUACUAUCAAAGCUAACUAGUUCACUAUCAAGCUAGUUAUAAUUGAGGAAUAUAGUAACUACAAGGUAUAUGAGAGAGUUAUGACUACUGGAUGAUGCAAGUUAAUCACUGAUAUGUGAUCAUCUUGUAAAGCACAAGUUGUACAGGAGAGAUAACCGAUGAAGCCUAUUAAGGAAGAAAUAAACCCCUGCAGAUGAGCAAGAUGAGAAGGGUUGGAUUUUAUCCUCGAAUUAUUAAAAAAAAAAAAAAAAAAGUCGAAAUGGAACUUCAUCCAUUAAAAUCAUGGAUUCCAUGGAUGAAAGAAGAGUUUUUUUUAUUGCAAUGGCAAAAAGUGACAUGAAUUCAUGAACAAUAAUGGAAUGGAUUUUCCAUCCUUUUUACAUGAUAUUGGACGAGGAUUCAGUUCUAGUUUCGCGGACGAAACCUAUUUCUAGGAGGGGUGAAUGUAAUACAUUGAACUUCGGCAAACUAGGAAUCUGAGGGUUGGAAUAGUGAUUGGAACUCUUCUACAACUUUUGUAGGAUUGUUGAGAGGCUUCAGCAAAUNAGGUAUGUCGCAUGACAUGUGAAUCAUUGUUAGUUAUCUUGGGCAUAUGGGCAGAUUGAUGAUAUCCUAGCCCUUUCGUGUGUACUGUUCGGCCAUUUGGAAGCACGACUCUUUUUUGUGGUGGAUUCCACAUUUUCUGAAAAAAAUUUCGAUUGGCUCAUGACCUUCUUAUAGAAAAUCCCGAUCUAUUUAUCAUGUCUUUGAGAUUUUUCGGAAAGUAUUUUGGCAUGACAUCUUCAUAUAUUUCCUCAUCAGAGUUAUCAAGUUUGAUAAGAUCAGAGGGUUUAUAAUCAUUUGACUUGUAAAAAAGGAUCCCUUUCUUUAUUCUUUCUUUUUCUUUGACUUUCUCAACUUGAGGAGGUACAAAGAAGGUUUUUAAAUCAUUCACUUUUGUUGGCUCACUUAUGUGAAGAGAUUUUAUAUGUCCAUAUGGAACUCUAGUAAUAUUUAAGGAAUCUUCAAUUAAUUCAGGAAUUCUUAUGAACAUAUUUGACUCAGAUGUCGGGAAAAUCUCUUCAUCUUCUGAUGAGUCUUCACCCCAGGGCAUGUUUAACUUGAAAGAAAAUGUUUCCAACAUUUUCCUUAAUUGUUCUUCAUCACUUUCGAAGUGUGGAAUCACAUUUUCUUUAUUAUUCUCAAUUUUUAUCUUUCCCUUUGACAAAUUUUUAUCGCUCUGAACUUUACCCUCUUCAAGUUCGCGAGACAAUUUUAUAUCUUUUUCAGAUUCUGCGAAAUACCUCGCAUCUUCAUAUCGUACUUCAUGCACUCCAAAUGGGCGUAUAUCACCAUCAAUUCUGACUUCUUCUCCAUCCUUAAUAUAUUUCAUACAUUGAUGAAGAGUAGAGGGGACAACGUUAUACUCGUGCAACCAAGGCCGUCCCAAUAACGUUUAUACAAAGUAUCUGCAUUUAUCACAUAGAAUUUUACAUCGGUCCGCAAUGCUCCAAAUUUUAUAGGAAGAAUGAUCGACCCGAGAGCUUUUUGGCUAUGCUGAUUAAAGCCUUGAAUCAAAAUUUUUUCUGAGGACAGAUGAUCGACAUUCAGAGCUAAACUUUUCAAAGUUCUUAAAGUCAAAAUGUUGACUGAGGAUCCAGGAUCGAUUAGAAUACGAUUAAUCUUCUCUCCAUCGCUUGUCCCAGUCACAUAUAACGGCCUGUUGUGAUGAGCAGUUCCCAACAGCAUGUCCUCAUCAGUGAAAGUAACAUUGGCGAUAUGUCUGGAGUACAAUGCUUCUUUCAUAUUCAUCUCAGCAAAAUAAGCAUAAAAGGGCUCGGGGUUUUGUAAAGCGUAAAUGAGUACAUCCCGAAGUUCUCUGGACAUCAUCAGGGCGUCAUACACACUCAACAAGGCUGGCACUUUUCUUAAAUGGGAAAGUAUGUUAUACUCAAUCUUUGAUAACUUUCCUUGAUUUGAUGAAGUCGGUGCCUCUUCAUUUAUCUGAAUUUCUUUAUCUUUACCAUUUUGCGGCUGCCCUUGUCUUUCUGGUAACACCUUUCCAGACUUAAGCUUAAUUUGGAAAGAAUCCUCAGCUCGUUCAUCUUCCUUGGUAUUAGAGUCGACACCACAGGUAAUAGUUUGGCACGUUUCGACUCUAGUCUUUUCAUAAGUAUUCAACUUAUCAAGUAUCUCUUUUAAUUGCUCUUUCAUAUUUUUUAUUGCCAUAGCCACACAGUCUAUGUUUGUUGCUAGAGUGCGUACAUCAAUCUGCACUCUCCUCAAAUCAUUGUCUAUCUCGAGAAGACGAUAUUCGACUCUCCUUGCGUCGUUAUCCCUGCUGGGAGUAUUAUAUGCUCUCCAGGCACUAUCGCUAUCUUCACAUGCCACAGUUGGUUGUCUAACCAUAUUCCUUUGAUUUACAGAGUCUUCAGAUUGCUCUUCGGAGAUUGUUAUUACCCGACAUGACUCCUUGAGCUGUAAUUUAUUUUUUCUAUGGUCCCGAAGUUUCACGCAUACAUCAUAAGCAUGACCUCUCAUUCCACACCAAAAGCAACGCAAUUUCAUAUCAUCCAAAGCGUCAUAACAUGCUUUUCUGAAUUCUUCUGGAGUAAUGGAUUGCUGUUUCUCAAAUCGUGGGAGAUGUUUCUUCCAUCGUUGUCUUUUGGAUUCAGCAAUAGUCGGUUGAUCAAUUUUUGACUUCACCUUGUUCAUAGGUAAGUUCUGCAUCUUUUUCCAUUGGCGGCAAUUUUCCAAGGUGUGUCCCCAUAUGUUAUGAUAGGUACAGAACUCUGUCAGCAUAACUUUAUUCUUUUUUUCGUUAUUCUCCUUAACCAGAGCUUUAUUAUUUUGGUGAACUUCUGAUUGCUGGUUUAGGGUUGUAUUCUUCUUCUUUUUUAGUGAAGAUGACCCCGCAUUUCCUCUCAUCGACAGUCUUUUAAGCUCUUGAGCAAUUAUGUGUGCUUCAUAGAAACUUGCGUCGUAUUCGGCUUUUGUUGACUUUGAUUGCUCCGAGCCUUGCUUCUUAUCAUCUUCCUUUAAAUCAGCUUGCAUAGUUAUGACUCGAUAGGUCUCGACCCGAUAUCUUUUCGAUGCUUCAGUAACAUCGGUUUUGAGCAUAUCUAUGAUAGCUCUCAUUUGAAAAUCUAUGCCUUUUACACUACCGAUUAUUUCGUUCAUGUUCAUCUUUAUAACGUUAAUUUCAUUGUGCAGCCUCCUCAUUUCUCCCUCCAUUAUGAUUAAGCGACACUCCAUUCUAUACAAUUUCUUCAUUGGAUCAUGAUAAGCUGAAGUGUCGUAUAAUUCCAAAGGAUCAACAUAAGCAUUAUAGUUUGGUGUGGAUGUCUGUUGAUUUGCUCUCAGGGUCGGCGCAGGUCUUUCUAGCACGUCAUCAGAUGUCGUAAUGACACGACAUGAUUCCCGUAUGUAAGGAAUAGUCUUGUGCUUAUUUUUCUUCUGGAUUUUCAAAGUGGUGCUUCUGACACUUUGCCUUAUACUUGCCCCUUGAGGAAAUUGCCCUUUUGGUCUUUUUAUAUGUUGAAAAGUACGACAGUUUUCUAGGUUAUGUCCUUUUACUUGAUGAAAAGGGCAAUACAUAGGUGUAUUUUUGCUGCCAGAAGAUUGAGGAUUAACGCCUCCCGUCGGCGCCGUUCUCGAACAUUUCCCUUUGUUAAAUUUUUUAUUGACUCCACCCUUAUUUUUGGUUUCUACAAGGGGAGCUUUUCCUUCAUCUUUUUGAGAAGUUUCAGGUGAAAGCUGUUUUGAAGAUCGACUUGUAGACCUUGGUAAUAUUUCGAUAUCCCGUUCUCUGUUCUUUUGCAAUUGGGUCUGUUGAGGGAUGGGAGUACUCUUCAUUAAUUGUUCUACUCUAGCUUCGAUCCCAAUCAACAUAGAGAAUAUUACAUUCAUUUGUGCUUUCAUAUCCAAUAUUUUAUCAUUCACCUUGUGAUAGUUGCAAUGCGUCAUUUCUUUUAUUUCUGCCAAUUGGUUAUGAACUUCUCUGAGGUUCCUUUCUCGUUCGCUAAAGUGGCUAGAAGGAAAGAUCAUUUCUUCAUCAUCACGUUGUGCGGUGAUGACUCUGCAAGUUUCUCCCCAAAAAGGCUCCUAUUUUUCUUUACACUCCUCGACAGGAAUUUCUCUUUCAUCAGAGUCCUUCUUUUUCUUAGCCUAUUCUAUUGCUUUAAAAAUAAAAUCAUGAAUCAUAAGAGGCUCUCUUUCAACUUGUUUAUAUUCUUCCAGUGAGUCAAUAUGCUCCUCAAUAGGCCGCUUCUUAUGUUGUGGUUGAGCCGGCUCAACAAAUUUUUUUAUUCUUCUUAACCCGAGUUAUUCUGCGCCUUGACUUGGCUGAAGUAUUAAUUGGAGGUGUGGGCUUAUCCCCAGAUUCCACUUCUGGGUUUAAGGGGCCUCGCCAUUUUAUUCCCGGAACAUCUUAUAAAUAUUUUAACAUCUUCCGAGUUUUCUUAUAUAAAAAUAUAUUCCGAAACUCGGGGAAAAAUACAUUCUCAAUUUCUUCCAUAUUUUUUGUAUCAAUCAGAUUGGCCUUUUCGACUGGGGCUUCUGAUAACACUGAUUGUGAAAGAGUGAUUGCACCGCUUCUAUAUUGCUUUUCAACCCAGUCUUUGAAAACCCAUCAGUCUUCAAUUGGAUGGCUAAUUAAUCUAUGAUAUAGGCAAUUGUUCGGAUCACCGGUUUUCCCUAUAUCCUCUGGCUUCUUUGGCUCCGGCAGUUGAAGACCAUUUUUAACAGCAUCGUUAAAUAUUUUCUUAACUUUGUCCCGUUUGAAAGGGUAUACUUUGUUUCUUCGCUCCUCUAAAGAAAUCCCUUUUGGAUUAUUACCCCCUAACACAGGUUUUACAGGGGUCUGUUCAACUGUAGAGGUAAUUGCCUUCUUUUCUUUUUCUAUCAUAUUCGUGCGGGCCGGUCUAACCUGCGCCAACUUCGCCUCAACUCUUUUGUUAUCAUCUUUUUUUAUCUUUUGUAAGUUUAAGAGGACCUGGGGAUCGAUUCUCUCCAAUCUAGAGAUAUUUGAUAUUAAUUCAUGAAAAGUGGAACAACUAGAUGUGCACAGAAAAGGGGCCAUCCAAUUAUCAAUAUUGCCCAUGACAAGACCAACAGCUUGAGACUGGUCUAGAGGUUGUUCACACCUUAUAUUUAAGUUCCGCCACCUUGUAAUGUAAUCUAGCAUUGUUUCAUCUUUUCUUCGUCUGGUAGCUACCAGAUCAGCGAUAGUAAUAUUAUCGCUAACGGUGGCGAAUUUUGCUCUGAAAGCUUCUUCCAUGUCGGGCCAGGUUUUAAUGGACUCAUCUUCGAGGGAGUAGUACCAUUCAAAAGCUAUACCUGACAAACUUUGUGAAAAUUGUCGCAAGAGUAGAGGUCCUUUACUCCCCGUAUUUUCACACAUAGCCUUAAAAUGUGCUAGAUGCUGAUCAAGGUUACCAACACCAUAGAACAUUUUGAACUUAGGGACCUGAUACCCUUCUGGAAAAGGUACGUUAUCGUAUUCCGAUAGAUAAGAAUGUCCUUUCCCUUUCGGUUUUGGAGUUGCCCCCGCUACCGUCUCUUUAACUUGUGAAGUGAUCAAAUCAUGAAUUUCUUCCUUAGUUAAAGAGGUAGUCUCUUUAAGAACAGUUGUUUUAGCCUGUUCAUCAAUGACUCGUGGUAUGUGUGCUUCCGGCUGGGUUAGAAUCUUGGUUUGACGUCGUUGAUCCUCCAAUUGCUUCUAUACAUUUAACAUCAAACUCAUGACCUCCUCCAUCUUCUUAUAGAGAUUUAUGAUAUCUCUAUCCUUUUCAUCAACUUUCUUUUUUAAGGACGCAAUCAUAACGUCCUUUGGAUCCCUCGGGAAGCAGACAACCUCCUCUUCCUCUCGUGGGUCAGAUGGAUCACUAGGCAUAUCAUCUUUAUUCUCCAUAUUUUGUGUUUGCGAAGAGCUUGCUUCCUCAGCUCUUGCUUUCUCUUCCGCGGCUUUUCUUGCAGCAGCUCUCGUAAGAAUUUGCUGAAUAGUUUCUUCUUCAUCAACCGACUCACUUGACGACGUAUGCCCAAUAACUCUUACUGUGUGAAUCUCCAAAUUCUUUACUUUACAUUUUUCUUCUUUGAUCUGAGCAAGAGUUUUGGGCUUCCACUCUGUCUUUCUUCCUUCCCAUGAUAGUGUUGACUUUCGCUGCCACUUCGACUUCUCAAUUUUCUUCUCUAGGCUCAUUCUUCCUUUUGUAGCCUUAAAAGUUUUAUAUAUCUGCUUGAAGACAGAGUUCUUAUCAUUGUUUCUUAAGCAGGGACGUGCAAAAGAUGGUUUUAAAUGGGCCAUUUCUGACUCUGGGCGCAGAAUGGCAGUAGGUGAAUUUUUCUUCAUUACGGGCCAAAACAUCGGGCCCGGCGACAAACCUAUUAUGUUGGGUUUGUUGGGACUUGUUUCCUUUGUUCAUCUCCUGCCGCUUCAAAGUACGACGAAGAUUUCUCUUGAAUGACUUGGUCACAGUGUCCUUGGGGAACGUCAGCCUAUUGAAGACUGACGCUUUAGGCUCCAUAUCAAGUAGCGAUGUUCCGUCAAUUCGGUUUUGGAACACCAGUCUUCCUUGUAAUUCCAUCUUCUUUGAAGCGCUGAUAGGUGUCAUCCUCUCCUUCACAGGAACGCGAGGGGGGUUGGGAAUGACGACAUUCGGACGCCUCCCACGAGAGGGAAGUCGUGGAACCACAACAUUAACAUCAUUUGUGCUAGUAACAGUAGUGAAAGAGGCCAUAGCCGCAGCCCUAGCCUCUUCUGGGAUGGUACCGAACUGGAUCGCAACACCAGCAGCUCCAAUGGUGAGGACAGAUGUCGGUAGGCAAACCUGACCUGCAUUGAUCAUCAUCGAGCCUGUGGCAACAGCAGUGUUAUUCGGUGACAUUUCUCCUGUAAGGGAAUAACGAGUGUCAAUUAGAUAUCUAUCAUCUAAUUCUAUUAACAUAACAUUGGUCUCAAAGAUGGAAGGAGAAGUCAUGUCCACCGGGCGUGCCAUUUUGUCUGCGACCACGAAUGACGCACCUCGCACGGUUGAUCUUAUUUUGAUUUUUCCCGUGGGAUAGUAUUCAUGAUUCAGAUUAAUAUUUAAUUAUAUAUAUAUAUAUGGCUAUCAGGUAUUGUGGAUUCAUGGCUUCCAAUAAACGCAAGCGUCUAUUGUUAAUUACUCCUACAAAGUGUUAGGGCACCUUCGAUUAAGAGACCUCUGUAAUGCUGAAAUAGACUGAAAUAAAAAGUGGAUUUUAUAACAUAAUCCAUUGUAUAGUUACAUGGCUUAACCAGGGGCAUACCCCCAGUGUACAUGAAUGAAUAUGACGGUUGAUUGAACUUGAUUCUGAAUCAAAGUGUAUGAUCAAAUUGAUUUGAUUGGGCUCUAUAUGUUUCAGUGCUCAACAAUAUUGUUCACCCUAAGGUGAGGGAUUGAUUAAAUUCCAUGUAUAUGCAUUGGGACUUAAUCGGAUUUGAUUCAAAUUAAACCCUAGUUAGGUGCAUUAGAGUUUGAUUUGAUUAAAUUGAUUUAAGCUUUCAUCCUAAAUGUAUGUGUUAGGAUUAGCCCAAAUAUUUCGAAUUAGACUCUAAUUUUAUAUCUUAGAGUCUAGUGUAAUUAAGCUCUAUGCUUAUAUGUUAGAGCUUAAUUAUGUCUCACAUUGAGUUCACCAUAAGGUGAAAUAUUAACUAAAUCCUAAUUAUAUAUAUUAGGAUUAGUCAAAAUUUGAUUUAAAUUAAACUCCAAGUGUAUGUAUUAGAGUCUAAUUCAAUUUCAUUUGGGUUCACCAUGAGGUGAAAUAUCAACUAAAUCCUAAUUAUAUAUAUUAGGAUUAGUGAAAUUUGAUUUAAAUUAAACUCUAAGUGUAUGUAUUAGAGUCUAAUUCAAUUUCAUUUGGGUUCACCAUGAGGUGAAAUAUCAACUAAAUCCUAAUUAUAUAUAUUAGGAUUAGUGAAAUUUGAUUUAAAUUAAACUCUAAGUGUAUGUAUUAGAGUCUAAUUCAAUUUCAUUUGGGUUCACCAUGAGGUGAAAUAUCAACUAAAUCCUAAUUAUAUAUAUUAGGAUUAGUGAAAUUUGAUUUAAAUUAAACUCUAAGUGUAUGUAUUAGAGUCUAAUUCAAUUUCAUUUGGGUUCACCAUGAGGUGAAAUAUCAACUAAAUCCUAAUUAUAUAUAUUAGGAUUAGUCAAAAUUUAAAUUAAACUCUAAGUGUAUGUAUUAGAGUCUAAAUCAACUAAAUCCUAAUUAUAUAUUAGGAUUAGUCAAAUAUAAUUUAAAUUAAACUCUAAGUGUAUGUAUUAGAGUCUAAUUUGGGUUCACCAUGAGGUGAAAUAUCAACUAAAUCCUGGUUAUAUAUAUUAGGAUUAGUCAAAUGUAAUUUAAAUUAAACUCUAAGUGUAUGUAUUAGAGUCUAAUUCAAUUUCAUUUAUUUGAACUCUAAGUAAGUGUAUUAGAGUUCAAUUGAACUGAUUAGGUGAAACCUAAUAGAUGGUUUGAUCAAUUCUAAACAAAUAUUUUAGAAUUUGAUCUAAUAUGAAUGUGAUAACAAUAUGACUCUAGCUUAAUAUGCUAGAGAAUUGGAUUAAAAAGAUUUGCCCUUAACAAAUUGGUAGAGCUUGGUUUCAUAUUUGAUCUGAUAGGCAUGAUUUAAGGUCUUGGUUUGGGUUAGAUUUUUGGGUUUGAUGUUGGUCUGAAUUGGUUUUCAAUUUAGAUUUUAUUCGAUUUGGGCAUUUUUAUGAACCAGUUUGGAAUUCAAACUUGGGCUAGGUAUAGCUUCAAGUUAUGGUUCAAUUCUCGGAUGGAUUCAUUCAUGGUCCAAAUUUGGGUCCAUAUAGUUGCAUUCAAACAUGGACUAGAUCCAGGCCUACAUGGUAUGGACUCAAGUUGAGGCCUGAAUUAAAUUUUAAGUUCUGGAUAUAGGCAUAGGCCCAGUUUAGACCCGUUUAAUAUGGAUUCAGGUUGAGGCUUGAAUUGGGUUCGGGCUCACUUUAGGCCCGUAUGGUUUAAGCCCAUAUUUUCUUUAGGCAAGCUAUAGAAUUGGGCCCAGAUUUAUAUUUGGGCUGAACUUGGGUCAUAUUGAGCUUGGGUUAUGAGAUUUGAGGUGGGUACGGGCUUGUUCCAGAUGAGAUUUUGAGAUGGGAAUUAUUUAGGAUUUGUUUGAGAUCAAAAUAUUUAAAUUUAUGGUUCAGAAUCAAAUUCAUCACUUAAAAAAUUUCGAAUGCAUUUUUUUUAUUUGUCAGAUUUUCAGUCAUAAAUCACAUAAAAUGUCUAAUGCAAUUAAAUCUCAAUUUGGUCUAAUUUGACCAAAUCGAAAGAUUUGACUUUGGAUAGAAUCAAAGAGUUCGAUUAUUUUCGAACACUACAUUGUUCUUCCAAUAAAAGGACGAUCAAAAGAAUAUUAAUCGGUAAUCCGACUAAUUUUCUUUUGUCUCCUCAUUGUAGGAGAAUUAAGAGAACACAAUUUUUCCCUUUAUCUCUUUUGAAAAUAUAAGACAACAAAGACAGAUAAUUCUUCUUUUGUCUCUUUUACAUUCAUGGGACAACUAAGGUGAAAAAAUCCCUUCCUUGCCUCCUUUUUGUAACAAAGCUCCCUCUCUCUUUCGUAAUUAGAGAAGUAAUUUCUUUCUCUCUCUCUUUUAAUAAUA